rnacentral:lncRNA from 1 species
ACGCCACAGGCUGUCCUUGCUGCUCAAGAGAAAUUGGAGCCACUUCCUAAACUAUGAACCUUUUCAUUCUGAUCAAUGCGGUACUAUGGAUGACAUUAACGACUUCAUGGGGAAUCGAAGCACAUCAAGCUCCUCUGCAAACCCCGCAGCAUAUUUUGGCAUGGCGAAAGGGACGCUAUAACAUCUGUCGUACCGAUGUUUGCCGGAAC